UGCAGUCGAGCGGUAGAGAGGAGCUUGCUUCUCUUGAGAGCGGCGGACGGGUGAGUAAUGCCUAGGAAUCUGCCUAGUGGUGGGGGAUAACGUUCGGAAACGGACGCUAAUACCGCAUACGUCCUACGGGAGAAAGCGGGGGACCUUCGGGCCUCGCGCCAUUAGAUGAGCCUAGGUCGGAUUAGCUAGUUGGUGAGGUAAUGGCUCACCAAGGCGACGAUCCGUAACUGGUCUGAGAGGAUGAUCAGUCACACUGGAACUGAGACACGGUCCAGACUCCUACGGGAGGCAGCAGUGGGGAAUAUUGGACAAUGGGCGAAAGCCUGAUCCAGCCAUGCCGCGUGUGUGAAGAAGGUCUUCGGAUUGUAAAGCACUUUAAGUUGGGAGGAAGGGUAGUAACUUAAUACGUUGCUACUUUGACGUUACCGACAGAAUAAGCACCGGCUAACUUCGUGCCAGCAGCCGCGGUAAUACGAAGGGUGCAAGCGUUAAUCGGAAUUACUGGGCGUAAAGCGCGCGUAGGUGGUUCAGUAAGUUGGAAGUGAAAUCCCCGGGCUCAACCUGGGAACUGCUUUCAAAACUGCUGAGCUAGAGUACGGUAGAGGGUGGUGGAAUUUCCCUGUGUAGCGGUGAAAUGCGUAGAUAUAG
rnacentral:rRNA from 1 species